rnacentral:tRNA from 1 species
AAAAAGAUAAGCUAAGAAAGCUACUGGGUUCAUACCCCAAUUAUGGGGGCAGCUCCCCCCUCUUUUUA